rnacentral:rRNA from 1 species
AUUGAACGCUGGCGGCAGGCCUAACACAUGCAAGUCGAACGAGUGGCGGACGGGUGAGUAAUGUCUGGGAAACUGCCCGAUGGCGGGGGAUAACUACUGGAACCGUUAGCUAAUACCGCAUACCAUCGGAUGUGCCCAGAUGGGAUUAGCUUGUAGGUGAGGUAACGGCUCACCUAGGCGACGAGCCCUAGCUGGUCUGAGAGGAUGACCAGCAAAACUGGAACUGAGACACGGUCCAGACUCGUACGUGAGGCAGAAGUGGGGAAUAUUGGACAAUGUGCGCAAUCCUGAUGCAGCCAUGCCGCGUGUAUGAAGAAGGCCUUAGGGUUGUAAAGUACUUUCAGCGGGGAGGCGUUACCCGCAGAAGAAGCACCGGCUAACUCCGUGCCAGCAGACGCGGUAAUUA